rnacentral:rRNA from 1 species
CUCAGGCGGGACGUGCCGGCGUAAGCCGAGAGGAAGCGGGGAUGACGUCAAGUCAGCACGGCCCUUACGUCCAGGGCUACACACGUGUUACAAUGGCCGGUACGAGAGGGAGGCGACCCGCGAGGGGAGCGGAUCCCGAAAGCCGGUCGUAGUUCGGAUCGGGGUCUGGAACCCGACCCCGUGAAGCCGGAUUCGCUAGUAAUCGCGCAUCAGCCAUGGCGCGGUGAAUACGUUCCCGGGCCUU